GCAGAUUGGCUGAUUGGCUGAUGCAGAGCGGAGUGGGCGGGUUGGAGUAUAAGGUUUGACCAUGUCCUGGAUGUAAGCUGGGGCUGAUCCGUUCAUGGCCCUGUAUGCAAGUACUAGUGUCUUGAAUAUUAGAAAAGUAAUGUUAGAGCACACUC